rnacentral:rRNA from 1 species
CAGGCUUAACACAUGCAAGUCGAGGGGCAUCAGGAAGAAAGCUUGCUUUCUUUGCUGGCGACCGGCGCACGGGUGAGUAACACGUAUCCAACCUGCCCUUUACUCGGGGAUAGCCUUUCGAAAGAAAGAUUAAUACCCGAUAGCAUAAUGAUUCCGCAUGGUUUCAUUAUUAAAGGAUUCCGGUAAAGGAUGGGGAUGCGUUCCAUUAGGUUGUUGGUGAGGUAACGGCCCACCAAGCCUUCGAUGGAUAGGGGUUCUGAGAGGAAGGUCCCCCACAUUGGAACUGAGACACGGUCCAAACUCCUACGGGAGGCAGCAGUGAGGAAUAUUGGUCAAUGGGCGCUAGCCUGAACCAGCCAAGUAGCGUGAAGGAUGAAGGCUCUAUGGGUCGUAAACUUCUUUUAUAUAAGAAUAAAGUGCAGUAUGUAUACUGUUUUGUAUGUAUUAUAUGAAUAAGGAUCGGCUAACUCCGUGCCAGCAGCCGCGGUAAUACGGAGGAUCCGAGCGUUAUCCGGAUUUAUUGGGUUUAAAGGGAGCGUAGGUGGACUGGUAAGUCAGUUGUGAAAGUUUGCGGCUCAACCGUAAAAUUGCAGUUGAUACUGUCAGUCUUGAGUACAGUAGAGGUGGGCGGAAUUCGUGGUGUAGCGGUGAAAUGCUUAGAUAUCACGAAGAACUCCGAUUGCGAAGGCAGCUCACUGGACUGCAACUGACACUGAUGCUCGAAAGUGUGGGUAUCAAACAGGAUUAGAUACCCUGGUAGUCCACACAGUAAACGAUGAAUACUCGCUGUUUGCGAUAUACAGUAAGCGGCCAAGCGAAAGCAUUAAGUAUUCCACCUGGGGAGUACGCCGGCAACGGUGAAACUCAAAGGAAUUGACGGGGGCCCGCACAAGCGGAGGAACAUGUGGUUUAAUUCGAUGAUACGCGAGGAACCUUACCCGGGCUUAAAUUGCAGUGGAAUGAUGUGGAAACAUGUCAGUGAGCAAUCACCGCUGUGAAGGUGCUGCAUGGUUGUCGUCAGCUCGUGCCGUGAGGUGUCGGCUUAAGUGCCAUAACGAGCGCAACCCUUAUCUUUAGUUACUAACAGGUUAUGCUGAGGACUCUAGAGAGACUGCCGUCGUAAGAUGUGAGGAAGGUGGGGAUGACGUCAAAUCAGCACGGCCCUUACGUCCGGGGCUACACACGUGUUACAAUGGGGGGUACAGAAGGCAGCUAGCGGGUGACCGUAUGCUAAUCCCAAAAUCCUCUCUCAGUUCGGAUCGAAGUCUGCAACCCGACUUCGUGAAGCUGGAUUCGCUAGUAAUCGCGCAUCAGCCACGGCGCGGUGAAUACGUUCCCGGGCCUUGUACACACCGCCCGUCAAGCCAUGGGAGCCGGGGGUACCUGAAGUACGUAACCGCAAGGAUCGUCCUAGGGUAAAACUGGUGAC